rnacentral:rRNA from 1 species
GAUGAACGCUGGCGGCGUGCCUAAUACAUGCAAGUCGAGCGAAAAGAUGAGGAGCUUGCUCCUCUCACGAUAGCCGCAGACGGGUGAGUAACGCGAGUAUACCCUACCUAUAAGACUGAGAUAACUUCGGAACACCGGCGCUAAUCCCGGAUAAUAUAUUGAAGCACAUUGUGCAAUAGUGAGAUACGGUUUUGCUGUAUCUUCUAGAUGCAUCCGGGCGGUAUUAGCUAGUUGGUACGGUAACGGCUUACGAAGGCAACGAUGCGUAACCGACCCUCGAGGGGGAUCGGCCACACUGGAACUGAGACACGGCCCAGACACCGACGGGAGGCAGCAGUAGGGAAUGGUGCGCGAAGGGCGAAAGCCUGACGGAGCAACGGCGCGUGAGUGAUGAAGGUCUUCGGAUCGGAAAACUGUGUUAGUAGGGAAGAACAAAUGUGUAAGUAACUAUGCGCGUCUUGACGGUACCGAUACAGAAAGCCCCGGCUAACUACGU